UGUCUUCGAGUCGUUGAUUUCACACUGCCGAGAAAAGCCUCUAGAUAGAAAAUAGGUGCCCGUACCGCAAACCGACACAGGUAGUCAAGAUGAGAAUUCUAAGGUGAGCGAGCGAACUCUCGUUAAGGAACUCGGCAAAAUGACCCCGUAACUUCGGGAGAAGGGGUGCUCUUUAGGGUUAACGCCCAGAAGAGCCGCAGUGAAUAGGCCCAAGCGACUGUUUAUCAAAAACACAGGUCUCUGCUAAACCGUAAGGUGAUGUAUAGGGGCUGACGCCUGCCCGGUGCUGGAAGGUUAAGAGGAGUGGUUAGCUUCUGCGAAGCUACGAAUCGAAGCCCCAGUAAACGGCGGCCGUAACUAUAACGGUCCUAAGGUAGCGAAAUUCCUUGUCGGGUAAGUUCCGACCCGCACGAAAGGCGUAACGAUUUGGGCACUGUCUCAACGAGAGACUCGGUGAAAUCAUAGUACCUGUGAAGAUGCAGGUUACCCGCGACAGGACGGAAAGACCCCGUGGAGCUUUACUGUAGCCUGAUAUUGAAAUUCGGCACAGCUUGUACAGGAUAGGUAGGAGCCUUUGAAACGUGAGCGCUAGCUUACGUGGAGGCGCUGGUGGGAUACUACCCUAGCUGUGUUGGCUUUCUAACCCGCACCACUUAUCGUG
rnacentral:rRNA from 1 species